rnacentral:rRNA from 1 species
UACGUAGGGGGGCAAGCGUUGUCCGGAAUCAUUGGGCGUAAAGAGCGCGUAGGCGGUCCGAUAAGUCGGUUGUGAAAACUGGGGGCUCAACCCUCAGAGGCCGACCGAUACUGUCGGGCUAGAGUCCGGAAGAGGCGAGUGGAAUUCCUGGUGUAGCGGUGAAAUGCGCAGAUAUCAGGAGGAACACCGGUGGCGAAGGCGGGUCUCUGGGCCGAUACUGACGCUGAGACGCGAAAGCGUGGGGAGCAAACAGG